UGCAGUCGAACGAUGAACCACUUCGGUGGGGAUUAGUGGCGAACGGGUGAGUAACACGUGGGCAAUCUGCCCUGCACUCUGGGACAAGCCCUGGAAACGGGGUCUAAUACCGGAUACUGAUCCUCGCAGGCAUCUGCGAGGUUCGAAAGCUCCGGCGGUGCAGGAUGAGCCCGCGGCCUAUCAGCUAGUUGGUGAGGUAACGGCUCACCAAGGCGACGACGGGUAGCCGGCCUGAGAGGGCGACCGGCCACACUGGGACUGAGACACGGCCCANACUCCUACGGGAGGCAGCAGUGGGGAAUAUUGCACAAUGGGCGAAAGCCUGAUGCAGCGACGCCGCGUGAGGGAUGACGGCCUUCGGGUUGUAAACCUCUUUCAGCAGGGAAGAAGCGAAAGUGACGGUACCUGCAGAAGAAGCGCCGGCUAACUACGUGCCAGCAGCCGCGGUAAUACGUAGGGCGCAAGCGUUGUCCGGAAUUAUUGGGCGUAAAGAGCUCGUAGGCGGCUUGUCACGUCGGUUGUGAAAGCCCGGGGCUUAACCCCGGGUCUGCAGUCNAUACNGGCAGGCUAGAGUUCGGUAGGGGAGAUCNGAAUUCCUGGUGUAGCGGUGAANUGCGUAGA
rnacentral:rRNA from 1 species